UACGUAGGGGGCAAGCGUUGUCCGGAUUUAUUGGGCGUAAAGAGCGUGUAGGCGGUUAGGUAGGUCCGUUGUGAAAACUCGAGGCUCAACCUCGAGACGCCGAUGGAAACCAUCUAACUAGAGUCCGGAAGAGGAGAGUGGAAUUCCUGGUGUAGCGGUGAAAUGCGCAGAUAUCAGGAAGAACACCCGUGGCUAAGGCGGCUCUCUAGUACGGUACUGACGCUGAGGUGCGAAAGCCAGGGAGGCGAACGGG
rnacentral:rRNA from 1 species